CGCCUCCCCUUGGGAUUUGUUGCACCAGAGCAGGUAGCUUAACCUUCGGGAGGGCGCUUGCCACGGUGUGGCCGAUGACUGGGGUGAAGUCGUAACAAGGUAGCCGUAUCGGAAGGUGCGGCUGGAUCACCUCCUUUUGAGCAUGACGUCAUCGUCCUUGCGGGCGUCCUCACAAAUUACCUGCAUUCAGAGAUGCGUAUCGGCACAGGCCGGUAUGCGAAAGUCCCAUCAUGGGGCCUUAGCUCAGCUGGGAGAGCACCUGCUUUGCAAGCAGGGGGUCGGGGUUGUUCCUCCGGGGGGCCCCACCUUUUUGGGUGAAAAACGACUUUGGGUCUGUAGCUCAGGUGGUUAGAGCGCACCCCUGAUAAGGGUGAGGUCGGUGGUUCGAGUCCUCCCAGACCCACCACUCUGAAUGUAGUGCACACUUAAGAAUUUAUAUGGCUCAGCGUUGAGGCUGAGACAUGUUCUUUUAUAACUUGUGACGUAGCGAGCGUUUGAGAUAUCUAUCUAAACGUGUCGUUGAGGCUAAGGCGGGGACUUCGAGUCCCUAAAUAAUUGAGUCGUAUGUUCGCGUUGGUGGCUUUGUACCCCACACAACACGGCAUGUGACCCUGAGGCAACUUGGGGUUAUAUGGUCAAGCGAAUAAGCGCACACGGUGGAUGCCUAGGCGGUCAGAGGCGAUGAAGGACGUGGUAGCCUGCGAAAGUGUCGGGAGCUGGCAACAAGCUUUGAUCCGGCAAUAUCCGAAUGGGGAAACCCACUGCUUCGGCAGUAUCCUGCAGUGAAUUCAUAGCUGCUGCAGCGAACCCGGUGAACUGAAAUAUUCUAGUACGGAGGAAAAGAAAUCACCGAGAUUCCCUAGUAGUGACGGGCGACGGGGAGGAGCCCUUAGCUGAAUGCUUUAGAAAACAUUCUGAAAGAUUGCAUAGAGUGGAAGCCCUGUAUUAAUGCACUCAUGGAACAGAUAGGCGGCACGUGACUGCCGAUAUGGGACCUCUCUCAAGCUAAAUUCCUGACGCACGAUUGAACCGUCUGGAGGUAAAUGAGACCCC
rnacentral:sRNA from 1 species